GUUCGGUCCCUAUCUGUCGCGGGCGUAGGAAAUUUGAGAGGGGCUGUCCUUAGUACGAGAGGACCGGGAUGGACGCACCGCUGGUGUACCAGUUGUUCCGCCAGGAGCAUCGCUGGGUAGCCAAGUGCGGGAGGGAUAAGCGCUGAAAGCAUCUAAGCGCGAAGCCCGCCUCAAGAUGAGAUUUCCCAGUAUGUAAGACCCCUUGGAGAACACGAGGUUGAUAGGCUCGGGGUGUAAGCACAGCAAUGUGUGUAGCUGACGAGUACUAAUCGGUCGAGGGCUUAUCCUAA
rnacentral:rRNA from 1 species